ensembl:lncRNA
CGCCAGGCCCCCUGCUCACGCCGCGCCCGCUCACGCCGCGCCCCCGCUGGCACGCAACUUCCGACUUUCAGACAUGUACAGUUUGUUUACAAGACGCAGAUGGACCAUAUUGCCAUAUUGAGUCAUGGCGGCAACAACUCCCGGGAAGCACCUGUAUGCACUCAGCCUGAGCACAGAGGCUCCAUUUUGGUUCAUUGAGAGGGACAUGGCACGCAUCCGAAAAUGGUGGUGCAUUAGUCUAAUGUAACGGUUCCAGAUUGACGGCCAUGGACAGAGGUUUGCAUACUGGACUAAUGAGGCCAGAGCAUUGCUCCAAGGUUCACUGCAGCCGAUAUACAGGGUCCCAAAGGUCAGCAAGAGGGAACAUGAGGUUUCGAUUAGAAAAGGAUGACAGGUGCAUCAUAUUGGAGUUACCAACGUGUGUGCUUUCUGAAAUCCUAAAUGAAGUGGUACUACAGGAAGGAGAUAAGGCAUACUUAAGAUUGGCUCUUGUGUGUACCACCUUCAGGGACACUGUGUCCACUGACUCCUUCAGGAGACGGGCACAUUUUCAGUGGCUUGACAGUGUCGCUACAUGGAGCAGGUUUUCUGAGUCCUAAAGAAAAGAAUUCUACACCAUGUACACCGUGGACACCUGUCGUGAAUGUGGAAUGCGUUUUAAAAACUGCACACCUGGAUAUGUUGGAACAGGAAAAAGGGGUGUACUUGAAGCAGUUUACUCAGAAGACCCACAUCCAGGUUACUGCGAUCACUUUUGCCACCAAAUGCAAUAGGUAAAAAUAAGGUGUUUGUGUGUAACAAAGGGGUGUGGGGGAAUUUACUUAUUUUCUCUUUCAGAGAAAACGGACACGUAUACUACCUGUUGGCAGACAACCCUGAGCCUGCUGGGUGUUUUUCAAGCUGCAGGCCCCCGUGACAAUUUGUGGCUGGAAACUUGGGAUUGAAUUUUGAAUUCUCCAGUGUUAUUACAGACUGUUAAUUAAUUGUUUAUGACAAAAAAGAGAUGUCAUAUGUUUAAACAACUUUUGGGUGAACUUUUUGUAUAAUUUUAAAAAUGUUAAAACUAACAUCUAUUGAGAGUCUACUUUAUGCUUUUUUGGUUUUAAUAAC